UACGGAGGGGCAAGCGUUGUUCGGAAUCAUUGGGCGUAAAGGGCGCGUAGGCGGCCGAUCAAGUCGGGUGUGAAAUCCCUCGGCUCAACCGAGGAACUGCACUCGAUACUGAUUGGCUCGAGUCCGGGAGGGGAUGGUGGAAUUCCCAGUGUAGCGGUGAAAUGCGUAGAUAUUGGGAAGAACACCGGUGGCGGAAGGCGGCGCCUGGUCCGAUACUGACGCUGAGGCGCGAAAGCGUGGGGAGCAAACAGG
rnacentral:rRNA from 1 species